GACGAACGCUGGCGGCGUGCCUAAUACAUGCAAGUAGAACGCUGAAGCGAGGAGCUUGCUCUUCUUGGAUGAGUUGCGAACGGGUGAGUAACGCGUAGGUAACCUGCCUGGUAGCGGGGGAUAACUAUUGGAAACGAUAGCUAAUACCGCAUAAAAUUGAUUAUUGCAUGAUAAUUAAUUGAAAGAUGCAACUGCAUCACUACCAGAUGGACCUGCGUUGUAUUAGCUAGUUGGUGAGGUAACGGCUCACCAAGGCGACGAUACAUAGCCGACCUGAGAGGGUGAUCGGCCACACUGGGACUGAGACACGGCCCAGACUCCUACGGGAGGCAGCAGUAGGGAAUCUUCGGCAAUGGGGGGAACCCUGACCGAGCAACGCCGCGUGAGUGAAGAAGGUUUUCGAAUCGUAAAGCUCUGUUGUAAGAGAAGAACGGGUGUGAGAGUGGAAAGUUCACACUGUGACGGUAUCUUACCAGAAAGGGACGGCUAACUACGUG
rnacentral:rRNA from 1 species